GGAUGCCUACGGGGCGCAGCAGUCCGGAAUAUUGCACAAUGGGGGAAACCCUGAUGCAGCAACGCCGCGUGAGUGAAGAAGGUUUUCGGAUUGUAAAGCUCUGUUAGCAGGGAAGAGGAAGGACGGUACCUGCAGAGGAAGCCACGGCUAACUACGUGCCAGCAGCCGCGGUAAUACGUAGGUGGCAAGCGUUGUUCGGAAUAACUGGGCGUAAAGGAUGCGUAGGCGGCUAAACAAGGUAUAUGUUAAAUACAUAGGCUUAACCUGUAGAAAGCAUAUAAAAAUGUUUAACUAGAGUGCAGGAG
rnacentral:rRNA from 1 species